rnacentral:misc_RNA from 1 species
CAACCCUCAAGCGUUAUUUUUAUAAUAAAAGCUUGGUGUUAGGCCCUAUAAUAAUUUCGAAAGAAAUUUAUAGGCCUGAAAAUCAUCGGCGAACCCCUCUGCGAGGCCGAGCGUAGUAGAUUUCUCUCGCUAUGACUCUCAGUGGUGGACCUGCCCUAUUUUAUAAAUUUUAUACAA